AUGAACGCUGGCGGCGUGCUUAACACAUGCAAGUCGCACGGAAAGGCUCCUGCUUGCAGGGGUACUCGAGUGGCGAACGGGUGAGUAACACGUGGGUGAUCUGCCCUGCACUUCGGGAUAAGCCUGGGAAACUGGGUCUAAUACCUGAUAGGACGAUGGUUUGGAUGCCAUUGUGGAAAGUUUUUUCGGUGUGGGAUGAGCUCGCGGCCUAUCAGCUUGUUGGUGGGGUAAUGGCCUACCAAGGCGUCGACGGGUAGCCGGCCUGAGGGGGUGUACGGCCACAUUGGGACUGAGAUACGGCCCAGACUCCUACGGGAGGCAGCAGUGGGGAAUAUUGCACAAUGGGCGCAAGCCUGAUGCAGCGACGCCGCGUGGGGGAUGACGGCCUUCGGGUUGUAAACUCCUUUCGCUAGGGACGAAGCGCAAGUGACGGUACCUGGAGAAGAAGCACCGGCUAACUACGUG
rnacentral:rRNA from 1 species